GUACACUCCUACGGGAGGCAGCAGUGGGGAAUUUUGGACAAUGGGCGAAAGCCUGAUCCAGCAAUGCCGCGUGUGUGAAGAAGGCCUUCGGGUUGUAAAGCACUUUUGUCCGGAAAGAAAUCCUUGGCUCUAAUACAGUCGGGGGAUGACGGUACCGGAAGAAUAAGCACCGGCUAACUACGUGCCAGCAGCCGCGGUAAUACGUAGGGUGCGAGCGUUAAUCGGAAUUACUGGGCGUAAAGCGUGCGCAGGCGGUUUGCUAAGACCGAUGUGAAAUCCCCGGGCUCAACCUGGGAACUGCAUUGGUGACUGGCAGGCUGGAGUAUGGCAGAGGGGGGUAGAAUUCCACGUGUAGCAGUGAAAUGCGUAGAGAUGUGGAGGAAUACCGAUGGCGAAGGCAGCCCCCUGGGCCAAUACUGACGCUCAUGCACGAAAGCGUGGGGAGCAAACAGGAUUAGAUACCCUGGUAGUCCCA
rnacentral:rRNA from 1 species